GUGGGGAAUAUUGGGCAAUGGGCGAAAGCCUGACCCAGCAACGCCGCGUGAGGGAAGAAGGCCUUCGGGUUGUAAACCUCUGUCCUUGGUGACGAAGAAAGUGACGGUAGCCAAGGAGGAAGCCCCGGCUAACUACGUGCCAGCAGCCGCGGUAAUACGUAGGGGGCGAGCGUUGUCCGGAAUUACUGGGCGUAAAGGGUGCGUAGGUGGCCUUUUAAGUUGGAUGUGAAAUACCCGGGCUUAACUUGGGGGGUGCAUCUAAUACUGGGAGGCUAGAGUGCAGGAGAGGGAAGCGGAAUUCCUAGUGUAGCGGUGAAAUGCGUAGAUAUUAGGAGGAACACCAGUGGCGAAGGCGGCUUUCUGGACUGUAACUGACACUGAGGCACGAAAGCGUGGGGAGCAAACAGGAUUAGAUACCCUUGUAGUCC
rnacentral:rRNA from 1 species